UUUAUGGAGAGUUUGAUCCUGGCUCAGAGUGAACGCUGGCGGCGUGCCUAAUACAUGCAAGUCGAACGAUGAAGCUUCUAGCUUGCUAGAGUGCUGAUUAGUGGCGCACGGGUGAGUAACGCAUAGGUUAUGUGCCUCUUAGUUUGGGAUAGCCAUUGGAAACGAUGAUUAAUACCAGAUACUCCCUACGGGGGAAAGAUUUAUCGCUAAGAGAUCAGCCUAUGUCCUAUCAGCUUGUUGGUAAGGUAAUGGCUUACCAAGGCUAUGACGGGUAUCCGGCCUGAGAGGGUGAACGGACACACUGGAACUGAGACACGGUCCAGACUCCUACGGGAGGCAGCAGUAGGGAAUAUUGCUCAAUGGGGGAAACCCUGAAGCAGCAACGCCGCGUGGAGGAUGAAGGUUUUAGGAUUGUAAACUCCUUUUGUUAGAGAAGAUAAUGACGGUAUCUAACGAAUAAGCACCGGCUAACUCCGUGCCAGCAGCCGCGGUAAUACGGAGGGUGCAAGCGUUACUCGGAAUCACUGGGCGUAAAGAGCGCGUAGGCGGGAUAGUCAGUCAGGUGUGAAAUCCUAUGGCUUAACCAUAGAACUGCAUUUGAAACUACUAUUCUAGAGUGUGGGAGAGGUAGGUGGAAUUCUUGGUGUAGGGGUAAAAUCCGUAGAGAUCAAGAGGAAUACUCAUUGCGAAGGCGACCUGCUGGAACAUUACUGACGCUGAUUGCGCGAAAGCGUGGGGAGCAAACAGGAUUAGAUACCCUGGUAGUCCACGCCCUAAACGAUGGAUGCUAGUUGUUGGAGGGCUUAGUCUCUCCAGUAAUGCAGCUAACGCAUUAAGCAUCCCGCCUGGGGAGUACGGUCGCAAGAUUAAAACUCAAAGGAAUAGACGGGGACCCGCACAAGCGGUGGAGCAUGUGGUUUAAUUCGAAGAUACACGAAGAACCUUACCUAGGCUUGACAUUGAGAGAAUCCGCUAGAAAUAGUGGAGUGUCUGGCUUGCUAGACCUUGAAAACAGGUGCUGCACGGCUGUCGUCAGCUCGUGUCGUGAGAUGUUGGGUUAAGUCCCGCAACGAGCGCAACCCCCUUUCUUAGUUGCUAACAGGUUAUGCUGAGAACUCUAAGGAUACUGCCUCCGUAAGGAGGAGGAAGGUGGGGACGACGUCAAGUCAUCAUGGCCCUUACGCCUAGGGCUACACACGUGCUACAAUGGGGUGCACAAAGAGAAGCAAUACUGCGAAGUGGAGCUAAUCUUCAAAACACCUCUCAGUUCGGAUUGUAGGCUGCAACUCGCCUGCAUGAAGCUGGAAUCGCUAGUAAUCGCAAAUCAGCCAUGUUGCGGUGAAUACGUUCCCGGGUCUUGUACUCACCGCCCGUCACACCAUGGGAGUUGUGUUUGCCUUAAGUCAGGAUGCUAAAUUGGCUACUGCCCACGGCACACACAGCGACUGGGGUGAAGUCGUAACAAGGUAACCGUAGGUGAACCUGCGGUUGGAUCACCUCCUUUCUAGA
rnacentral:rRNA from 1 species